CUGCAGGGUAGGUGAGUCGACAUAUAACUCCAGUGAAUCGGUAGGCUGAAACAGGGUCUUGCAGGCAGGCGUGGGACACCCCAAACGCAGAUAGAAACAGCAGCAAUGCCUCACGUGACCCAGCCACAGGGAAGGUUUUGACAGGGUUUGCUGUUGGUACACAACAUGGCACCAUCAUAGCAGAGCCACUUCCAUCUAACCUUUCUGCACAAGCGGCCGAGCUCAAACCUCUGACUGAAGCAUGGAAAUAUACAGGCGCGUAUCUAUGAGCUGACCACCAGGACAAAGUUUUGAAUCAACCAGACAAAUUUUAAAGUAUACAUAUCCAUAACUCCUCAACACCAACUGUAAAUUGCCUCUGAGGAGUGAUGAGGUUUGAGUUCUUGUUCAUGUUCUGCAGUUGCAAUAAACAUUUUAAACCUGAGUUGUCUGACUGAACUGUAACUGUAACUGUGGUGAUCCACUGGUACACUGCAAAAAAGCCAACUUGUAUUUUUUGGCCUAAAACAGUUAUUUAAAUUGGUGAAACUACAAUACAAUAAUGCAAGUUAGCACUACAAAUGAAGCCAGUUGUAUGCUCAAAAACAAGUUUGUGAGUUGUUGUUACUUACAUCUUUAAGUUGGGGUUCAAAACAGGGGACAAUCGUUCUGCUAACUCUUAUUUCUUUGUUGUGAAAUGCGGGAAAGCGGUGAAAUUCGGUCAUUAGCGAAAGCUACCGGCAAACUGAUGCUAGCGGCUAACUGAUGCUAGCGGCGCUGCUUGUUACAGCUACAAGAGUAGCCAUUAGCAUAUCAAUGCUAACUCAAAAUUGUGGUCGCAACAUUAGCUGACAUUUCAUAGCGGCGUUACAAUCGUGCCAAUUCAGCACAUUGCAGAAGUAAGGAUUAAGUUGAGCAAGCUCAAAAACUAAACUUAAAAUAUUUAGUUUAAUUGUCCAACUUAAAAUUUUAUCGAAGUUUGUUGCCUUGAAAUUUUGAGUUCACCCAACUUUUCUUUUUUUGCAGUGUAGGCUCUAAACCUCAUGGUAAACUUUGACACAAUCAUUCUGACUUUGAUUUGAUUAUCAGUGUCAGUGAUCCCUUUAUUAUAGAGAUAAUAAUGAGAUAAUAAUAUAAUAUGGAGAUAAAAUGAGGUAAGAGAUAAUAUUACAACAGCCAAGGUGAUAUUAUAUGGACUCCUUGUUGUAAAGACGGUCUAUUCUCUCUUGUUUACUGGCAUCUAUUAUAAACAUGGCAUCAUAAAAUGUUUCCGUAAGAAGUUGUAAAACAAUUGAAACACCUCUGAAGCGUUGAACAUGUUGUCCUUGGCGGACUCGUCGUGAUGUCGUCUAUCUUAAAUGAGUCAUGUGAGAUAAACAUUGAACUGGCUUUACAGCACGGAGAGCAUUUCCACAUCUUUCUCACAUCUAAUGAAAUGCUGCACAUGUGAGCAUGUGUUUUUUAUUGUCCCUUAAGGCCGGAAGAGGGGCAAUGACCUGCAGCUGACCAUGAUCCUUGCUGUCACAUGUACUAUCUAGAGCUUUGGGUUUUACAAUGCUGUAAAAUACACCUGAAGCAGGAUGACGAUAACAUCUUCAGGCAGCCAGACAUCAAUGUUGGAGAUCUGACUUGUCUCCAUGUGAAAAUAAUCGUAUUUAAACAGUUAGUAGCAAUAAUGCAAAAUAAGGGGUCCAGUUUUUAACCCGUGUAUCAUUCGUUCUUUCCAUUUUCAAUUGGCAAUCAAAAAUCAAAUAAUGAAAAAUGUACUUGUUAUUUGUUUUUUAUUAUAACACAAUAAAUGAAAAAAAUGCUUGUUUUUUCAUAUUUCAAUAUUAGGUCAGAUCAAAAAUACGAAAUGGAAAAACGGGCACCAGGACUGAAUUUGAUUUUAAUAUUUAAUUGGUCAGGUAUAUGUGACCCGUAAGUUUGUAAUGUAAUAUUUUACUAUACAGUAUAUAUACAAAGGUGUUUUAUUUAUUUUUUUAAAUCCACAGUGAACAGUUCUGUAAAUAUCAUGCAUUAAUCUUCUUUCCAUAUUUAUCUGGUAUUUGGGCUUGGUUGUCUAACACUUUAUUCUGAAAACUGAAAACCGCACGUCGACACAACAAAUACAUUUUCGGCGCGACACAAUUUAAUUAUUUUAUGUAGUUAAUACUUCAUCUCCUCUCUGUGGCUAAGAGUUUUAUACUGAAAAAAGUGAAAAAGAAUGACAGUAAAGCAUUUAUACUUCAUGUCAGCUCUCUUGGAGCAGUUUCAAUGAAUUUACCAUAAAUAUCACAAUACGGGUGCACUACAUUAUAUAGGGGAAGGCUGGUUUGACUAUGGAAAAGCGAAUGACGGCUCACUUGACCGCAGUCAAACUUCUAGGUCACGUAUAUAAAUGGUAAAUAACCAGUCAAUUUUUCAUUAUUUGAUUUUUGAUUGCCAAUUGAAAAAGGAAAGAAUGAAUUAUA